AAUAUUAUAGGAUAGAAAUAGUAGCUAUCACCCAUAGUUAGGAGAUAUUGGGGUACUGACCAAUAUAAUAUU
ncrna:unclassified sequences skipping-rope RNA